AUUGAACGCUGGCGGCAGGCCUAACACAUGCAAGUCGAGCGGUAACAUAUCAAAAGCUUGCUUUUGAAGAUGACGAGCGGCGGACGGGUGAGUAAUGCCUGGGAAUAUGCCUUGAUGUGGGGGAUAACCAUUGGAAACGAUGGCUAAUACCGCAUAAUGCCUACGGGCCAAAGAGGGGGAUCUUCGGACCUCUCGCGUCAAGAUUAGCCCAGGUGGGAUUAGCUAGUUGGUGAGGUAAUGGCUCACCAAGGCGACGAUCCCUAGCUGGUCUGAGAGGAUGAUCAGCCACACUGGAACUGAGACACGGUCCAGACUCCUACGGGAGGCAGCAGUGGGGAAUAUUGCACAAUGGGCGCAAGCCUGAUGCAGCCAUGCCGCGUGUGUGAAGAAGGCCUUCGGGUUGUAAAGCACUUUCAGUCGUGAGGAAGGUAGUUGCGUUAAUAGCGUAAUUAUUUGACGUUAGCGACAGAAGAAGCACCGGCUAACUCCGUGCCAGCAGCCGCGGUAAUACGGAGGGU
rnacentral:rRNA from 1 species